CGGGACGGGUGAGUAAUGUCUAGGGAACUGCCGAGUGGAGGGGGAUAACUACUGGAAACGGUAGCUAAUACCGCAUAACGUCGCAAGACCAAAGAGGGGGACCUUCGGGCCUCUUGCCAUCGGAUGUGCCCAGAUGGGAUUAGCUAGUAGGUGGGGUAAUGGCUCACCUAGGCGACGAUCCCUAGCUGGUCUGAGAGGAUGACCAGCCACACUGGAACUGAGACACGGUCCAG
rnacentral:rRNA from 1 species